rnacentral:rRNA from 1 species
UACAGAGAGUGCAAGCGUUAAUCGGAAUUACUGGGCGUAAAGCGCACGUAGGUGGAUACUUAAGUCGAAUGUGAAAGCCCCGGGCUCAACCUGGGAAUUGCGAUGGAGACUGCAAGGCUUGAAUCUGGCAGAGGGGGGUAGAAUUCCACGUGUAGCAGUGAAAUGCGUAGAGAUGUGGAGGAACACCGAUGGCGAAGGCAGCCCCCUGGGUCAAGAUUGACGCUCAUGCACGAAAGCGUGGGGAGCAAACAGG